rnacentral:tRNA from 1 species
GGAGGGGUACCCAAGCGGUCAACGGGAGCAGACUGUAAAUCUGCCGGCUGAUGCCUACGCAGGUUCGAAUCCUGCCCCCUCCACCA